UUAUGGGUAACUGAUCCUCCCUUUUCAAUCUGAGCUGCUGCAGCUCUCCCAGGAAGGCUGCUGGUAUCUUCAAUUUUCCUGUCUCGUGGGCGGUCGGGAUUGCCACAGGUAUUCCCAAGCUGGAACCAUUUCCCCUCCUGCUGUCACUCCAGGCUCCUCACAGCCAGGACCAUCAGCCAGCUUCAGGUGUUUCAGAUCCUGUGAAAAACAAGCUCUGAAAGGCUUCUCCUGUGAUAAACUGUCUGGUGUGGAUGCAAAUUUGGCAUGUUGGAAGAGAAGGAAGAGCAGGAAAUGCAUGAUUUGCCUGCAGGGAAAGAGCCCAGGGAAAAUGGAAACACAGCCCAGGUUGGAAACACCUACAAGACAAAGAUCUCUCCUGUGAUGACUUCACAAAUAAAGAUUUAAAGCUAUUAAUAGUAACAGCUCUAAGAGAUCAAUAGUUGUUCAGACCUAAAAGUCUGAUUUUUCCCCAGCUGAGGGAGAGGUGGGAAGGUACCCCGUGGUUUGACAGGCUGACACAAAAAACACAUGCUACAUAAUUAUAACUUGCAAAAUGUAAAUAUUUAUGAAUUCACAGGAUGUUCGCUGGAAGAGAAGAAUGUUAUACUUGCAGAUUUUUCUUGUACUUGCAGGAUUCACAUAAUAUUAUUUGCCAUCAUGAUGUACUGAAAAAUGCAAAAAAAUAUAAUACUCUACAUUUGACUUUUCUGAAAAAUACCAUCUGGUGUUAUUUUUUGAGAGUUGGAGAUCAGCUCUCUAAUUGCUUAUAGUUAGAGAUAGACAUUACUACAUUUAUUGACAAUUUCAUUCUCUACAAUAAUCUUACAUUUAAAUAGUGACUUUGUUCCUGAAGGAUGCCAAAGUGAUUAAACUGAUAUUCAAACUCUUUGGAUAGCAUCACCCACCACUGAAAUGCAGCCAUCUCUGGGGUGAGAUAUUGCAGCUGUUUAACAGCACUCAACAGCGCUGCAGAACAGCUUUGGACAUGAAGAAUUCUGAUGAAAACGGGGAUUUUUAGUUGGUGAUUCCAAGCUGGGCAAAUGUUUCGGGAAAUAUUUCCUCCACAGAGUUUUGCUAAAAGUGUUGCUGCCAUGAGAUUUCCAUCACACUCCCGCUGCUCGUGAGUUGGAAGGACAGCACUGGAAAUGUGAGCUGUCAAUCUGGGUGUAACAAUACAUUUAGCUCGAGCACAUCAUCCACGUUGAAAGAAAACACUUGUCAAAGUUACAAACAAGCAGCUCCUGGCUCUUGUUGAUGUGCAAUCACAUCCAAGCACGUGUCCCAGGACUGCUCUGUCUUGUUAUCCAGUUGUCAGGGAUGAUCAGGAUAUCCUGCCUCUGGAUUGCUUCGAUUCACGUGCGGCAAACCUCGAGCUGAGCUUUGUCUGGAGAUGUCUUGUGGAGGAGCGUUGUGGAAUCAUCACUCCUCAUCAGAUGGACACAUUCCCCUUCACCUAUUUGGAAUUUUUCCAAUUCCUUUUCUAACUUCUUGGUUUUAACAUCUUUCUGAACAGACUCCAGACCACAUAAACCUGACAUCCCCUCUGUGCCAGAGGGAUUUUGUAGGAAAAAGAGAUUUCACUGGUGGCUUCUGAAGACUGUGUCCCUGCUUGGCUUUGUAGAGCAUCUGCCAUAAUUCACUCCAGGAUGACUAAACUAUUGUAAUAAAAUAAUAAGUACCUUCUACAGAUGAAUAUUAAUCUGGAAUUCAACUAUCAAUAUCACACUGUGGAGAAGAUUAUUCCCAAUGAGCUGAGACAUUAUGUGUUGGGUUCCAGUGAGAGGUGAAUGGAUCCAGCACACCUAAAGGUUCACUGAUGGAGGACCUGAUGGGGCAGAGGUGGAUGGAGGGACCUGCCUGUGGAACAGAAUCUGCUCCUUCUGGAGGUGCUCUAAUCUUACAUUUAAAUCAGCCAGGAAACAUCAUCCCAAGGCUGAGGAACAACUCUCAUGGUGAGAUCUGUGUGCUGGGUGUGCCACUGCCUGCUCCUCCACAGUCUGAAACAACACAGCAUGGAAUCAUCAGCUUGGAAAAAACCUCCAAGUCCAGCCUUCAGCUGAAUCCAUGCCUACUAACCCACAUCCCAAACUGCCACGUCCACUCGUUUCUUGAGCACUUCCAGGACUGGUGACUCCACCACCUCCCCGGGCAGCCUGUGCCCCUGCUGAGGUACUCUUUCACUGAAAAACUUUUCUCUUCAUGUCCAACCUGAGCCUUCCCUGGUGCAGCCUGAGGUCAUUUCACCUUGUUCUGUCCCUGGCUGCCUGGGAGGAGAGGCCAAUCUCCACCUUGCCCCAACCUCCAGCACCCCCUGACGUACAAUCCCACACAUGGGAUUUGUGUGUGUGCGUAAACACACGCUUGAUGUUUUUCUCCAUUCUCAUCACAUGUUUCAUUCAAUAGACUUAUUAAUCAACCAUAAGAAAUGAGUUAAGAUGUUGAAACAGUCAUGGCCUUUGUUCUGUGUCAGUUUUGUUGGCUUAGCUGACAUAUAGCUACAAGGCAUGACGGAUCAAAGUAAUUAAAGUUCCAAUCAUUUACCUUUCUAUGUUCAGUGUCAAGACAGCUCGCCUUCACCCCGGGUUCAGAGCAUUUUCAUAUUUUUUUAACAUGUUAGAGCUGUGCCAUUUGCCUUGCUGUACUUAAGCAUUUGACAGCAUUUCCAUUAUAAAGUUUAUAUACGAAGGCUUGAGAUUCCCUCUGGAUUCCAACUUUGCACAUAAAAUUGCAGACCACAGGCAAUCCAAAACCAAUCUGGUAGCUUGGGGAUUUUUUUUGUAGUUUGUUUCUUUUCUGUUUCUUUGAUUUUUGUUUUUUGUUGUUCAUUUACUUUAAGGUAACGUAGGUUUUUUACCAUCAAAGAACAAAAAAAAUUCCUGUUCUGUUUCACUUAGUUUCAAGGUACAUUUUUGUGUUUAUGAAAGUUUAAUGGGACUUAUUUUUGUUCCUGUCAUGAAAUAUGAUAGGCAAUUAGUUCUAAUCUUUACUCCUCCAUGAUACACAUUAACUAAUAGUAACUAAGAAAUCACACUUGUGUCAGAUGCAAAAGCAAAAUAUUUCCUUUUAAUAAAAGGGGUUUUUACAGCAAUUGCACCAGAAAUAUGGAUAAAAAGGAAAUAUUGUGUGGAUACAUCCCCAAACAGGGAUUUGACACACCAUGCACUGACUCCAUCCCUCCACCUGUGAGAGCCAUCCUUCAGGCACUUUCAGGCUUGAAAUUUGCAGAAAUCCUUUGCAAAAAGUAAGUAAUAAUUCUCACUCUUAAAAUGUACUUUGGAUUGCAGAAUCAGCAUUCGAGUUGUGUUUCUUCAUAUUCUUUUUAAGUUAAUUUUUAUAGGAAGUCCCUUCAAGAUGAAGUUUAAAUAUUCCACACUGGAUUUCUCACAACUAAUUUAAUGCCAUCUUCCAGUCAGCACAACUGGUUCAAGACCCCUCUCUUGCAUCAUUUGAAGCUCUGGAACAUUAAACACUGCCUUGUGUUGUAGUUUGAAUAUGAGAUUACUUAACUAGCAGUGAAUAUCUCUGCAACAUAUCUGCUCUACAAAGGGAGCUCACGUUUGGAUGUUGCCUGAAAUGCUAAUAUUUUACAGAAAAUUAUAUAUAAAGCUGUUCAUUAACUAGCUAUUUUUUCCUUUGUGCAACAUUUUAAAAAAAUUUGAUUCUAAACUCCAGUUCAGCAGCUAAACCAGUGAUUUUAUUUGAAGAGAAGGACUAAAGAGCUGGCAUUAAAAACAUUUAACUCUGGUUUUGCAUUUUAAAAGUAUGCUAAUAUUGUGAAGGAUCAAAUUGCCGGAAUAUUUUUAUGAAAUCAGACCUUUUUUUUUCUCAAAGUUUACAUAGUAAAGUUGGGUAUAAAUAGGCAGAAAUAAAUUAAUUAUUUUGAGUUAAUUUGCAGAUUUGGAUAAAUUCUGUGUCCCAUGGAAGUUAAUAGGGGUCCUCUUGCUUUGAUUUAAAUGUUGUCCAGAUAUAAUCUCCUGAAUUUGGCACACAUUUAUUACAUGUUCUAGUGCAGAAACUUUCCUUGUGGAUCUCUACAAUUUCUUCCAAUAUUUUCUUACAAGGGUGUGCAUUUUUUGAUUGCAAUGUUAUGAAGUGGUGUGUAUGUACAUGUAUUUCAAACAGGUUUGAUAUUUGAAUGCAUUAUUAUUUUUAGGACAGCCUAUCAUUACUCAGUAAAAUAGGUUGUUAAUUUGGUAUAAAAUAGAGGAAGUAAAAUCCCCACAUGAUUCCUUGAUUCAGGCUUCCUACCCAGUGAGUAAUAGCGGAGCAACCUGAUAGCAAGGCAGGUGUUUUGCAUUUAAAUAGCCUCUAGUAAGGACGUAAAUAAUGACAGUUUUGUUAUGCACAAACAGAGCUGGAAUUUGUCUGUAUUAAAGUGAUC